UCAAUAAAUGUUGGUUAAAUAGUGAACAUGCACAUGGAAAAAGCAAUCAUGGAGAAAUAAUACUGGUAUCAAAUGAGUCAUCCAUUGAUUUAUUAUGAUAGAGACUGCGUUUGACUCAGUGGUUAAGGAAUAUGUAGGAAAACUCCAUAUUUACUCUUUCUACUCUUUACUGUAAAAUCAGUAACAUGGAAAGUUCUUAGCUUACUUCACAUUGCCUGGUUUUAAAUACUGAGCUCUGUAAGUUGUCUUGCAGGGGACAAGAAAGCUUUUUUCAGAUAAUCUCUUUAAACCUAAGUGGUGCCAAAAAAGAUCACAUACUACCACAAAAAUAUAUUCUUUUUAUACCUAAGUUCUAUGAAAUAAUCAAAAUCAGAUUUGUGUAAGCUGUUUUCAAUCCUUAUA